ACGUGGGUCACUCGUACGCUUUAGCCAAUCAGAUGCAAGCUUACCAUUCAACCAAUCAUAACCCGCCAAGAGCGCAGCACUCAAGGAGCUCAGCAUUGCACACCUUUUGCGCAAUCAACUGAAAUGAAGCUUCACGUCAUCAACCAAGCAUGGCGAAUGAAGUGCGGGAUAUACGUGUAAGUUAUUACUUUAUUUCAUAUUGUUUCAUAAUUUAAUAUUGCUAAAAUAACACACAUUACACUCGCUGUUUACAAAAGAUUCCCGCGAUUAACGUGAAUGACGUUAAUCGUGUUGCAAGACAGACUGUCUUACCUAACAGUAAGAAGGAGAAGUGUUUUUUAAAGUUAAAUCAACAACUUUGAGGGUACGUUAAGUAUUCUCAUCUCAUGCUAAAUCCUCGUCUCUGUUUCUGACCAGUUAAUAUUGAUCUUUGUAUUAUUUAUCUAUUUAGUUAAAUAGUAAACACUUACAAUAUAGUCUUUAUGUUAUGCCUAAAGUGUUUGUUUUCGCAAUGUACAUACAGAUUGUUACUGACUGUGAGUAGUUUUUCAGUAAGGAUCAGGUCACUGCAUGCAUAGAUAUGUAUAUAAAGGCUAGAUGGCUCAAGGCGGAGUCCCUAACGGCAUCACCUGGCGGCCAUCUUACGACAGGGCGCUCGCUCACUCGUAGCAUUGAGUUUAAUGGUGCAGGUACUUUUAAAUGACCAUAACUUGCUCAAUUUUCUACCGAUUUUCAAACGGUUUGGGUUUUUACAAACGUUAUUAACGUGGCUAUAAUUCUGGAUGCUUUAACAUGUUUCAUGAAUUUUUUUUUUUUUUUAGUAUAGGUAUGCAGUGUCAUAGGUACAUCUUUGACGUUUAUAACAAACCAAACCGUUUGAAAAUCGGUAAAAAAUUAAGCAAGUUAUGGUCAUUUAAAAGUACCUGCAUCAUUAAAACUCAAUGCUACGAGUGAGCGAGCGCCCUGUCGUAAGAUGGCCGCCAAAAUGCGGACGUUGCACUCAAUUGGCCAGCAGCGCGGACGAGCCAUCUAGCCUUUAUAUACAUAUCUAUGACUGCAUGAGAGAUCAGGGUGAGGGCGACUUGUUUCAGGUCGAUGAGAAAGUCAAACAACAUAAACUGAGUGUAUAUGAAAACACAAAAGACAGCUAAAAUGCAUUUUAAGCAGACGUUUUUGUGGGUUCUACAUCUGUGCAUAGACAGGCUAAAUCUGUUCAUAAGUGGUUCAGUUUCAUGACAGUAGCCUAGUAAAUAGAGUUUACAUAUUUAGAAUCAGUUUACAUAUAACAUUGAUUCUUAAUUCUUGAUAUUGUUUAAUGUCAUUUAUUCACCGAUUGUAUUAAAGGACUCUCGUCGUGUAAUACUGUCACAGAGCAGUUGUUCUUGUGUUGCUGGGACAGCACAUUGUUGCACUACUCAGAGCUCAGUGAAGUUCACAGCUGUACUGAAACGGUUGAGAGCUGACACAGACCUAGAACAAUGAGGUUCUGUCUGCAAGACCCAAAGAAAGGAAGCUUGCUAAUGUAUUAAGGAGUACUUUUUAAAAGAGUGUCACCUGUAAGCUGCCUGACCUCACAGUCCUCCAAGUAGUAGAGGCAUUUAAGGACUUUGCCAGUGCUGUAGCCCCUUCGGUCACCACUAUCAAGAUGUCACAUGUCAAUUCUUUGGUGGAUUUUGGCUUUGGCAGAGUUUAGUAUGGAAGUGUGCUGUCAUACCAGCAGCAACAACACGCAACCUUAAUCGCUAUCUACAACCCCAUAACUACAACCUCUGCAACUAUUUGGCUACAGCCUUGACACAUCUGUUUGCUUGAUAGUUAUUUAUAUUUACAUGUUUACAUUUCUGAAGUUAAGGUAGUUAUUUACAGUAUAUUACAUACAUACUUUACUGCAAUGUAAAUGUUCGAAGUCAUUUAGUUUUACAUUCAUGCAGUGCAGGCAACACUGUAUGAAAGUUAUUUACAGUAUAUUUAAAUACAUUACUGCAUUGUAAAUGUUCAAAGUCAUUUAUAUUUACAUGUUUACAUUCCUGCAGUGCAGGCAACCCUGUAUUAAAGUUAUUUACAGUAUAUUUAAAUACAUUACUGCAUUGCAAAUGUGUAAAGUCAUUUAUAUUUACAUUCCUGCAGUGCAUGUAACACUAAAUAAAAGUUAUUUACAGUAUAUUUACAUUCAUUACUGCAUUGCAAAUGUUCAAAGUCAUUUAUAUUUACAUGUUUACAUUCCUGCUGUGCAGGCAACACUGAAUGAAAGUAAUUAACAGUAUAUUUAAAAACAUUACUGCAUUGCAAAUGUGUAAAGUCAAUAUUUACAUUCAGUGCAGGCAACACUGAAUAAAAGUUGAUUAUAUACAAGUCAAUAUUAUUUAUACCUGAACAAAACUAAAUGCAAUACUUGGU